AGAGAGAGAAAGCAAUUCUUGUAGGUAAGUCUCCCAUUACAGCAUGGCUCUGCAGUAGCAAAGUGUAAAAGUCAACAGAAAAGUUUCAGCAGAGAAAGUCAAAGCAGCACCCAAAAAUGCCUGCAGCCCCAGGAGAUGCCAGAGAGUCAAAAUUUUCCCAUUCCUCUAAGAUGCCAAGUGACCCGAAAGCCUCGGAUUUGUCUGCAUGACCUUUGAGGACCCACAAACCUGAGAACAGAGCAGGAUGCAGAUAUUGCAAGCACCGUGGUAGUCCCCAGGGAUCAAAGAACAACCUCCAUUGUAUUUUGAGUGUCACACCUACUGAUGACUCAGACUGAUGCCCGGAAGUUUCAAAAGUCCCCUGCCCCAGCUUGGAUCACCUGGUGUGGAUAAGGAAAAAAGAAAGGGGAGAGAGCACCCUGCAGUGACUGAUGACUUCCUCUCAAGGAGACUGGAUAAACAGUGACUAAGUUUAAUCUGACUGUCAAGCUUAACUUUUCCACUGUCAGUUUGUGAACUAAUUUAAGUUCAUUUACUGUGAAUAAAAGAGAGCUCCACUUUUUAACAUGUAAAAUUCAUAGCUGCUACAAUGUAACUGCAGUUUAGCUUUUGCUUCUCUUAUUUAGAUGUCACAUGUGCCCCAAAACCUCUGAAGCCAUUUCAUUAGGCAUUAGCUUGGGGAGAUCUAAGAGGAAAUGUGUUCUUUUGCAAUUUUAGGGAGAAAAAGUACUUAGUGGUGGUGUGUUACCACAGUGGAGUUGGAUUUACAAGCUGGCAUAGUGGAACUUCACCUUUCUACUUUGUGGGGAUUGAGAAAAUUGGUCAAGCGAACCCCGCAACAGAUAGGAGGCUGAAUAAUAAGUUACUUUCUUUCACAUGGGUUAAAAUCCAGAGACUUCGAUUAGGAAAAGCUCAACUGGAAGAGCAAAAACAAAAACAAAAAUACUAGAAAGAAAAUGGACUGAUGUUCAUAGCUUACCACAGAAUUAUCAGAGGGACUAAGAUAUUCUUCUAGGGAAGGGAUUUAUCAGCAUGUCUGAGAAUGAGUUUCUUUAAAGUUUUAAGAAAUAAAUACUUUGAGUCUGUGUUUGAAAGCAACAGAUAAAUUCAGAGUGAUUUGAGGUGAAGUCUUUGUGAAAAUGUUACUUGCCCCUUAAAAAAAGUUUUUUAUUUGUCUGGGUAGACUGUAUGGGGUCAUUGGCUGUCUGCUUAGGACCCCAGAGACAUGGGCGAUCAAUACAAGGGAGAUGUUUAUCAAGUCAAAGAUGAAUUCCUCAUCUGGAGGCAGUGUGAACAUUGUUAGACAUUGGAAGGGGUGAUUGGUGAGAGUGAUGGAGUCCCUGCUCAGGGUUAGGAAGACCAGGGAACAUUUUUAUUGGCCUUUUGGGUUUUAGAACACUUCAAGGUGAAAGGAAUAAAGAAGAUGAAGCAGCUGGGUCUGAUAGCAGGCUUGGUGGGUCAAUGCUAUACUAGGUUGUCUUUCAAUCUGAAUGACCUCUAUUUGAAAUUUAAAACAAUUAUAGAAUUUUCGCUUUAAAUAGUGGAUAACAAAAAUAGGUAAGAAUGGAGAGCAUUGGAAAAUAUGACUGACAUGGGGUAAGGGAAAUGGUCUCAUUAGUCUCAACAUUUUUUGGUUUUAAGAGUCAAUAUAUUUUUCAGAAAUUCAGUUGGAAGACAUUCCACUGAAUGGCUACAGAGGAUCAUCAAUG